rnacentral:lncRNA from 1 species
AAAAAAAGACAACAGAGUGAAUCCUCAAUAAGGCAAAACACAUGGCUAUUUUUCAUUUUCCUAUAAUUGUUUUCAUCUAAGAAAAGUUCGUCCACAUUUUAUGUCAAAACAUAUUCAAUUCUUUUGGGGACAUAAUAUGAAUGACACAAAAGAAUUAAUAUAUAACGUUUUUCGUGAACAUAAAAUAGAAUAACUUGGCUCUCGGUCUUCUUCUUCUUCUCUCUAAAAAGUCUCCAAAUCAGAAAAUCGUUUCCGGUGACCGGUGGCUUGGUUACCAUUAUGUUUUGUCUUUUGAUGUAAAAUAACUUCGGUCAAUCUUUGAUCGAUUUAUAGUUUCGCUUGGCGAAUUUACUCUUCGCUUUGACGAGUUAUUUUGAAGUGUAAAGCUCAAUCAAAUCGGAACGUUUAUCAAUCUCAUCUUCUUCUGAUAUGGAUUGAGCAUACCUAUAGUUAUGUCCCAGUUCUUCUCCUUCUACCUAUAUUCUGAUUCUGUUUGGUCGAAAUGGUUUUGUUUUCUUCUUUGUUAGAUAAGCUUAGUCCUUGACUCGGAGGUGGUAUAAAGCUUCGACUCGUGUUUGUGUGAAGUCUCCACGAAGAUCAAGUCCUGAGUUUUCGAUCAUGCUUUCGAGUUUCAAGUCAGAAUCGAGAAGAUUUGGAGCUACCAUAAGGGUCAGCGUUCCAAUAAGAUUCCAAGCUUGAUUCUUCUAAAGCUUUUCCUGGUGCUUAAUUCUAACAAUUGGAGAAGAAGAUCAUGAGAUCGACGGUGAUUGAAGGUUGAAGAACAUACAAGCAGCCUCAAGUAUGUCGAAGAUGGAGAUGAUCGGCAUUCCGGCGAGUUGGUUCCGGCACUGCUCUUCCUUCCUCGACUAAGGUGUGGAAGCCACGUAGAGACCACGUGUCACUCAUGCGGUUGUAGUUAUCUGUAAAAUAUGGGCUUCAUGUUGGGCUUAAUGUAUAAUGAGACUUUUUGUACUUGCCAUUUGGGCUGUCGUUUUAAUAAAACGAACCGUUGACAAAAAAAUAAAAAUAAAUAAAUAACUUGUAAUUUUUUCUUAUUUCGAAGCUGGAUGCCAG